rnacentral:lncRNA from 1 species
AAGUCAACAUGACCAAAAUGGUUAGUUGACCCUUUAAGGAGUUAUUGGCCUUUAUGGUAAAUUUUUUAGUUUUUGGUAAUUUUUUACAAAAAUCUUCUCCUCUGAAACUACAAAGACAAAUUUAACCAAACUUGUCCACACUCAUCAUUAGAGUAUUUAGUUUAAAAAAUGUGUCCGAUGACCCGGCCCGCAAACCAAGAUGGCUGACAUGGCUAAAAAUAGUACAUAGGGUAAAAUGCAGUUUUUGGCUCAUAUCUGAAAGCGUUUAGAGUAAAUCUGACAGGAUAAAAUUGUUUAUUAGGUCAAGAUCUAUCUGCUCUAAAAUUUUCAGACCAAUCAGGCAACCCGUUUAUAAAAUGGAUUAAAAAUGUUGCGCUAAAAUUGCAAUUGAUAAUUCUACUUUUCGCUAAAAUCUGUGAAAAAGGUUGCGCUAAAAUAGGUUUAACUUUGGCGCCAAAACCUCCAUUUUUUUGCGCUAAAAUGUCCUCCGUCGUGAAUUUUAGGAACACUGUCAUGAGACUUUAAUUGACUCCUAAACAGAUCAGCUUAUAAAUUGUUUAUGAUGCAUCGAUCUUUAAAUUGUUCCGAAAAUUAUUUUUUUAGCUGAAAGUAAAAUACAUUUCGGGGUAGAAAGGAACCGUUACAAAUAUUGGUAUUCUUUCAACCUUCUUAAACAUUUUUCUUUCAACAUUUUUUUCCUUACUUUGCAUAUCAAAGGUAGCUACUACUGUAACACAAAACUACCGUUUAUGGUGUUCAAUAUUAUACUAAUGCAACACUAAUGUAUAGGUACAUACUCGGAAAUCCGCAAAGGUCAAUAAUAUGAUAUAAGCAAAAACUUUAUUGCAUAGUACACUUGUACGCGAUCUAGUUUAUUUUUAAAACCUAUUACUGCGCAGUUUUAUUUAUUUGUGUUAAUACAGGUUACCUUUGUGCACUUAUCGUCGGAUUUAUAAUCCUUAUGAAUCGUUAUAAAAAAUGACAUCCUCAAACAAACCUUUUGGGAGAGCUGUGAAGGGUGCCCUUUUCAGAUUAUUUUGUACUUCACGAAAUCACUCCGGAAUAUCUCAAUGUAUUUAGAUAUUAAGUGCAUUAGGUAAGUCAUAUUACUUAUAUAUAGAUAACGUGCUUGAAAUAUAUAUAAUUUUCGUUUCAAUAACUAAAACUGAAUACUAUAUAUACGCUCGGUUCAUAGUUGAAACAUUUAUCUUGAAGUAUUUUAAGGAACAACUUGUCUACAAAUUCGAAACGAUGUUGGAUCUAUAUUGAUAUUUGUAGUUGUAUUAAUUUUGUAUUAUUGAAUUUUAUCGCUAUUUUGCGCAUUUUUCCUUUGAUCUUUUUUUUGUGAUAAUUUUUCAUAUCAUGCUCCUCGCUUGAGAUGGAAAAUUAUCGCUAGAAACUAAGGAAGCACGUAACGUUGCUAAUUCAAUUGACAUGAAAUGACAACGUCGUCAUAGGUAAAAUAGUGAUAAACAGAUUAUCAUUGGUCAUCUCAACUCGAUUGCUCAAGCGGCUCAAGCGAGAAAAUCAAUCUCGUUUAGAUGAUCAACGAUAAUCUAUAAGUAUACUAUGGAACGCCACGACUGCCUUAUGUUAAUAAUCAGCAUUAUACGCAGUGUUCACAGCAUUAUAUGAAGUGAUCACAGCAUUAUAUGUAGUGCUCACAACAUUAUAUGAAGUGAUCACAGCAUUAUAUGCAGUGCUCACAGCAUUAUAUGCAGUGUUUCACAAACAUUAUAUGAAGUGCUCACAACAUUAUAUUUUAAGUGCUCACAACAUUAUAUUAAGUGCUCAAACAACAUUAUAUUAAGUGUUCACAACAUUAUACGUUUUUUGUUGUAUGAUGAGAUUGAUGUAUGAUGAGAUUUAUGAAUGAUGAGAUCAUUCGGUAAACUUCGUUUUUUAGCGGAAAUUACCGAAUCCAUUAUUGGUAAAUUACGGUAAUGCCCAGCAAUCAAAUUUAAAAAGUUAUUAAAAUCAUGUUAUCAUAAGGUAGCAUACAAUAUUUAAAACUGAUUGAAAUAAGUAAGGAAAAGAUGAAACUGAGAGGUGAAUGAUUGAAGUAGUUCUGUUCGUCGUAAGAAAUACGAAUGGCAAAAUGUAAGUUAAAUAAUAAAAAGUUUAUUUAAUGAAAUAUCGUAGGAAAAUUUGUAUGAUAUAUUCUCGAGUUCAUUUCCUACUGAAGAAAUUUAGCAAGGUGCCACUUUAUAGUCCGUACUCAGUUUUAAAAAGCUUAAUUACCUUUUAAAUAAAACAGUCAGCUUUCUAUAACACAUAGGUGCCAUAUUACGCUAGCUUAUAUAUGUCAUGAUAGAGUCAUUUUUGGCAUCGAUUUUCAGAAUUUGGCAUUUUUACAUGAAUAAGUAUCUAACAGAUAUGGAAAAUGCAGUUUAAAGCAUUUCACUGUAGGUGUUAAACAUAACUUUACAUCAAUUAUUCCAUUUUUUACAAGCUUUUUAGCACGGCAAGUACUAAGAUUGUCUUCUAAAUAUGAUCAGCAGUCUUAUAUAGAAAUUUAAACUUUCAUAGAAAAAUUUACCCUUUCAAGACCCUGUUUAACAUUUUCAUUUAAAGUUAUCAUCUCUUAUGAAAAUUGAGUUUGUGGGGAUGAAUAAAACGUUUACUACGUUUGUUCGUCAGUUUGCACGGUACAUACAUGUAUAUAUAUAUAAAAGUGGUAUGCUUGCCAAUGAAACAACUUUCCACAAGAGACAAAAUGACAUCACAGAAAUUUUAAACAGCUAAACGGCCACAGUACGACCUUCAACAAUGAGGAAAGCCCAUACCGGAUAGUCAGCUAUAGAAGGCCCGAAAUGAUAAACGAAAAAUAUUCCUAAUUUAUGUACAAACAAACGAUCGAAAAACUAACAUGUAUAUAACACAUUAAUUAACAAACGACAACCACUGAAAUAAAGGCUCCUCCUGACUUGGGACGGCCACAUAUAUGCAAAAUGUGGCGGGUUUUAACAUGUUAGCGGGAUGUUGGUAUCCUCCCUCUAACCUGGGACAGUGGCGUAACAGAACAACAUAAGAACGAACUAUGAAAAUCAGUUGUAAAAGGCUUUGUUAGUUUUCUCGUUUGAAUUGUUUUACAUGGUCGUAUCGGGGCCUUUUAUAGCUGACUAUGCGGUAUGGGCUUUGCUCAUUGUUGAAGGCCGUACAGUGACCUAUAGUUGUUAAUGUUUGUGUCAUUUUGGUAUUUUGUGGAUAGUUGUCCUCAUUGGCAAUCAUACCACAUCUUCUUUUUUAUAUUAACUCAUUAGAUGGGUACAAAUAUAAAUACAUAUGAUCUAACAAGAAAAUAGAGUGAACGUGCAUGUGGGCGGGUACUUGUAUAUCCAACAAAUAAAAAGACACUAUAAGUACUGAUCUGAGAGUAUAUAUAACUAAUAUAGUACCAUGCUGUUGAUUAAAAAUAACAUCACUCCAGACCCUUUUGUUUUCCACAUAAUUAAUAUUGCCAAUAAUUAAGAAGUUCCGGGUCGAAUCGAUACCAAUAAUAUAUUCACCUGUUAACUAUUUACAUUAUCUGUACGUUCCGCAUCUGACAGGAUCUGAAAUUCGAGUUUAUUUAUUUCAAUAAAUAUUCGUGUAUUGAAAAAUUGUGUAAAUUAAUUAGAAUUAUCAAUAUAGAAGUAUGUUCUCCAGGUUGAUCAACAAUCUGUCAUUCUUGUUGCUCGUUUUUGUGCAAACUUGUCAUGCGCAAAAUCUGUAUGUUAUUGUAUGUAAAAAUAUCUUUCUUUGUACCAUUUACUUGGUUUUAUAAGAAAUAAAGAAUCUUGAAUCUUGACAGGAGUACCACGAAACGCUGUAUUUAUUUGCAUAUACACGGUCGUAAUCACAGAAACUACUUAAUUCAAUCAUUGUCACAUUGUUCCCGAUUGUAGUCUUUAAUCAGUAUGACUUUCUAAGAUGACAAUACGAAUAAUAAAAAUCUGGACUUAAAAAUAAGGCGUAUAGGUACAGCAUGUACAGUUUCAAUUUUGUUAGACGUAAAACAGCGAAUCAAAGAUUCAAUUUUAUUCAUAACUCAUAAAGGACAAAACUGUUGAUUAAAAAAUACUCCUUUCCAGAGACUUUUGUUUUCCAAACAAAAUCAAUAAUACCAAUAUUAAAUUGACAAGUUCCAGGUCGACGGGUUCAAACAGAAAGAUGUUAAAAGCAGAGAAAACUUCAUCUUAUAAUCGGCAUGACUUUAUCAGAUGACAAUACCAAUACUAAAAUAAGGCUUACGCAUAGUUAUAUUCUUUAAUUCAGUCACAGACCCGCGAUAUCACGGAUGUGUUCUAGUAAAUAUAUAUAUAUAAAGUUGUGAAUAUGGUGAAACUAAUCCUCAAAAUAAGUUUAAAAUGCCCUGGUGUGGAAUAAACUUGGGUUAAAUUGAUCAUACUUCUUAAUUUACUUAUUUCAAUCCGUUUUAAAUAUUGUAUACUGCCUUAAUGAUCACAUAUAUAAUAAUAACUGUUUAAAUUUGUUUGCUGGCAUUAAUUUACCGUAAUUUACCAAUUAUGGAUUCGUAAUUUCCGCUAAAAAACGAAGUUUACCGAAUGAUCUCAUCAUUCAUAAAUCUCAUCAUACAUCAAUCUCAUCAUACAACAAAAAACGUAUAAUGUUGUGAACACUUAAUAUAAUGUUGUGAGCACUUAAUAUAAUGUUGUGAGCACUUAAUAUAAUGUUGUGAGCACUUCAUAUAAUGUUGUGAACAUGCAUAUAAUGCUGUGAGCACUGCAUAUAAUGCUGUGAUCACUUCAUAUAAUGUUGUGAGCACUACAUAUAAUGCUGUGAUCACUUCAUAUAAUGCUGUGAACACUGCGUAUAAUGCUGAUUAUUAACAUAAGGCAGUCGUGGCGUUCCAUAGUAUACUUUAUGUUAGAUAUGUACAUACAAUUCAGGACCUUGUUGUAAACUAGUAUUAGCCUGAUUUUCUAUUGUACUGUAUUGUAGUCCUGUCAUAUAAUGUUGUCAGUUUAAUGUUAUAUAUUUAUUAUUGCUAUAAAAGCGGUAGGUUUGGCAGCGGUAUACUACUGUUGCCUUUAUUUUUUGGAUCAUAACUAUAUGCAUUCUAAUUUUAGUUAAUAACUUAUAAAUUCUUUCGUUAUCCUGUUAUUUUUUGUAAUCCGCUUUGCUGCAGUCAAUUAAGUUACUAGGACGUUCAGAAAUUAGUAUAUAAACUGAUCAAGCCGCUAUAAAAUUAAUAGCGAGUUUCUUGAUAUUCUAGGUGAGUCUCUUGGUUUUAAAAAUGAUUUUCUUUUAAUUUUAUUUUAAAGAAAAAUAGAUAAAGUUUACAAGUAACUAAUAUUUUAAUUCAAAUGUUUAAUUUAACAGUAAUUAUUAUUGUUAUUAUUUGAUAUUUUAUUAGCAAUGUUUGUAGUAUGUUAUUAUUGUUUUCAAUUUAUUUUAACUUUAAAGUUGUACUUUGUUUAUUAAAUGAAGUGCGAGUUUCUUGAUAUUCUAGUUGUCAGUCGAUCCCGGCCUGCCUCUACAUCGGCAGCAAUGCCAUGCACCAUCCUAGGCAUUGUCACAGCUAGUUUCCCCCAUCAUGCUUAGACCCAGAACUAGCUCUCACGGAUGUAGUUCGUCUGUUGAGAGUUUGUCGGGAAUCAACACAACGGCUAACUUCACAAUAUACCAACAAUCUAUAUACCAUUCACAUGGAUAGUAUUGUCGUCCUUUUAUUUUUGUUAUAAUAUAUGGUGGAGGACCCUGGCAAAUAUAUGUUACAAUACUAGUCUUUUUACUACCUCUGCAUGUAAAUUGUUAAAAAUAAAGGAAAUUAUUGUUAUCAUAUUAUUCUUGCCGAUAAAGAUAAGCAUAGUGGAAUUUUAUUCAGCAAACUAUCACAUAUGCCAGCAAAUAAUAUUUAGAAGAAUUAAAAGAAAUACAAUACUGACUGCAGGCCAUAUCAGCUGUUUCUAUUUGGACUUAGGACAUCGCAACUUUUAGGACAAACCUUAGACCAUCCCAUGACACCUAUAAAUAUACAGACUGUAUAUCCUAACGAUAUAAAAACCAAUGUUAGGAUACAUAUCUUAGAAGAUAUAAAAAAGAAGAUGUGGUAUGAUUGCCAAUGAGACAACUAUGCACAAAAGACCAAAAUGACACAGACAUUAACAAACUUUGUUUGACUUAGGACUAUGACUUGUCGUCGAGUGCACCUGUCCCGUGCUGGAACUCAACUAAUAAAAGUUGCAACCAGUCAAUACAAUUAAAAAAACAAC